UGGGGAAUAUUGCGCAAUGGGGGCAACCCUGACGCAGCCAUGCCGCGCGAAUGAAGAAGGCCUUCGGGUUGUAAAGUUCUUUCGGUAGCGAGGAAGGCAUUUAGUUUAAUAAACUAAGUGAUUGACGUUAACUACAGAAGAAGCACCGGCUAACUCCGUGCCAGCAGCCGCGGUAAUACGGAGGGUGCGAGCGUUAAUCGGAAUAACUGGGCGUAAAGGGCACGCAGGCGGUGACUUAAGUGAGGGGUGAAAGCCCCGGGCUUAACCUGGGAAUUGCAUUUCAUACUGGGUCGCUAGAGUACUUUAGGGAGGGGUAGAAUUCCACGUGUAGCGGUGAAAUGCGUAGAGAUGUGGAGGAAUACCGAAGGCGAAGGCAGCCCCUUGGGAAUGUACUGACGCUCAUGUGCGAAAGCGUGGGGAGCAAACA
rnacentral:rRNA from 1 species